AGGAGCUCUGGGAUCCAGAAAUUUUGUUUCAAGCUCAUCACUACUCUUGACAACCGUGGUCUGAGUUUUGAAGUUACAAGAAAAGAUGAAACCAGACAUACUUCCCAAAAGGUGUGAGUGCCAGCACAAGCCAUUGAUUGUAAUACAGAGCCUGCUGCAACGCUAGCUCUUUGCACUGAGAGCCAGCUGGGUAAGCAUUUCCAGUCAUUCCUGUGUUCCAGUGUGUACUCUGAGAAGGGUCUCCAUGCUGAAUACAGUGCAGCUAAGGCACUUGCGCUGCAGAAAGAAGAUGCAUUGGAAGGACAAAAUAUGUAAACAAGACGACACAUACUCACAUACAAAAUUCAGAUACUUCCAUUUAGAAUCUACAACUGUAGCCACCAAAUCUAAAGACUUCUCAUAUACUACCACAUGGCAUUUCAUGCCAGAGUUUAAAACGAUUCCUCUUCAGUUUACAAAAAACUGCUGUAAACUGGGGGGAAACAGCCCUCUAAGAUAUUGUAACAUAAUGCAGACAGACAAACUACUGAAUUCUGCCAAAACCACUUUUGGUUAUGUAGAAAUGAAUUUAAUUGUUUUAAAUUUACAUAACAGAUUUAUGAAGGAAACUAAACUUUAUUAAAGCAUUUUUUUUAAAAAAAGCUACAACAAUGAGAUCUUGGAAAAACCCAUCUGGAAGGAUGUUUUCUCUUCAUUUGUUUUUUUAUGUAAAACUUUCCAAUCUCUUUUGCUGCUGCUGUUCUUUGUGACUUUUAAUGCUUG